rnacentral:rRNA from 1 species
ACCGAAUAGAUACCCCGGUAGUCCACGCCCUAAACGAUGCGAACUGGAUGUUGGGUACAUUACGGUACUCAGUGUCGAAAGCUAAACGCGUUAAGUUCGCCGCCUGGGGAGUACGGUCGCAAGACUGAAACUCAAAGGAAUUGACGGGGGCCCGGCACAAGCGGUGGAGUAUGUGGUUUAAUUCGAUGCAACGCGAAGAACCUUACCUGGCCUUGACAUCUGUCGAAUCCUGCAGAGAUGCGGGAGUGCCGCAAGGAACGACAAGACAGGUGCUGCAUGGCUGUCGUCAGCUCGUGUCGUGAGAUGUUGGGUUAAAGUCCCGCAACGAGCGCAACCCUUGUCCCUAGUUGCCAGCACGUAAUGGUGGGAACUCUAGGGAGACUGCCGGUGACAAACCGGUAGGAAGGUGGGGAUGACGUCAAGUCCUCAUGGCCCGUU